rfam:Schistosoma rodhaini strain Burundi genome assembly, scaffold: SROB_contig0000116
GCACUGCUGAGGAGUCCCACAAUAGGAUGAAACGUCCGUCAAGUAC